rnacentral:rRNA from 1 species
GACGAACGCUGGCGGCGUGCCUAAUACAUGCAAGUCGAACGAGAGCGACCGGUGCUUGCACUGGUCAAUCUAGUGGCGAACGGGUGAGUAACACGUGGGUAACCUGCCCAUCAGAGGGGGAUAACAUCCGGAAACGGAUGCUAAAACCGCAUAGGUCUUCGAACCGCAUGGUUUGACGAGGAAAAGAGGCGCAAGCUUCUGCUGAUGGAUGGACCCGCGGUGCAUUAGCUAGUUGGUGAGGUAACGGCUCACCAAGGCCGUGAUGCAUAGCCGACCUGAGAGGGUGAUCGGCCACAUUGGGACUGAGACACGGCCCAAACUCCUACGGGAGGCAGCAGUAGGGAAUCUUCCGCAAUGGACGCAAGUCUGACGGAGCAACGCCGCGUGAGUGAAGAAGGUUUUCGGAUCGUAAAACUCUGUUGUUAGAGAAGAACAAGUGCUAGAGUAACUGUUAGCGCCUUGACGGUAUCUAACCAGAAAGCCACGGCUAACUACGUG